AAUAAAUACAUUUUCACUGUUCAUGUGUAAUGUUAAUAAUUCGUCUUCUUUAAAAACUUUUUAUGAUUAGUAUUUUUAUUGUUAUUACAUGAUAAAACAUGAAUAUGACUACUUUUUAUUAUUCUUUAUAUACUUUUUAAAUAAGACGGAUGGUUAAAUAUUGGACACGGAUAUCCACUACUACACUUAUU
rnacentral:pre_miRNA from 1 species